rnacentral:rRNA from 1 species
GACGAACGCUGGCGGCGUGCCUAAUACAUGCAAGUCGAGCGGAGUUGAUGAGGUGCUUGCACCUCUGAUGCUUAGCGGCGGACGGGUGAGUAACACGUAGGUAACCUGCCCGACAGACCGGGAUAACAUUCGGAAACGAAUGCUAAUACCGGAUACGCGAUAUCCUCGCAUGGGGAAAUCGGGAAAGACGGAGCAAUCUGUCACUGUUGGAUGGACCUGCGGCGCAUUAGCUAGUUGGUGAGGUAACGGCUCACCAAGGCGACGAUGCGUAGCCGACCUGAGAGGGUGAUCGGCCACACUGGGACUGAGACACGGCCCAGACUCCUACGGGAGGCAGCAGUAGGGAAUCUUCCGCAAUGGGCGAAAGCCUGACGGAGCAACGCCGCGUGAGUGAUGAAGGUUUUCGGAUCGUAAAGCUCUGUUGCCAGGG